rnacentral:rRNA from 1 species
GAGGUCUGACAUAACCCGUCGAAAGGCGGGCUAACAUCAGAUGAUAUAUAAUCACGACAUCGUGGAAAUAUCAAAUCUUCGGAGCCUUGGGAUGAGCCUGCGUCUGAUUAGGUAGUUGGCGGAGUAAUAGCCCACCAAGCCUACGAUCAGUAGCUGGUCUGAGAGGAUGAUCAGCCACACUGGAACUGAGACACGGUCCAGACUCCUACGGGAGGCAGCAGUAAGGAAUAUUGCUCAAUGGGGGAAACCCUGAAGCAGCAACGCCGCGUGAAGGAUGAAAUACUUUGUAUGUAAACUUCUGUAAGAUGGGAAAAAUAUUCUCCUCGGGAGAAUUGAUUGUACCAUCAGAGUAAGCCCCGGCUAACUACGUG